GGGCCGAUAGUCUAAUUUGGUUAGGACACCCGCCUGACCCGCGGGAGACUCCCGGUUCGAGUCCGGGUCGGCCCA
rnacentral:tRNA from 1 species